AACGAACGUUGGCGGCGUGGAUUAGGCAUGCAAGUCGAACGAGAACUGUCCCACACCUUGUUCUCUCCUUCUGGGAGAGGGUGAGGUGUGGGGCAGGGAAAGUGGCGAAAGGGGCAGUAAUGUAUGGGUAACCUACCCUGAGGAUGGGGAUAGCCACGGGAAACUGUGGGUAAUACCCGGCGAUGUAGCGGGGAAGCAUUCUCUUGCUACCAAAUGAAUUUCGCCUUGGGAGGGGCCCAUAUGGUAUUAGCUAGUUGGUGAGGUAACGGCUCACCAAGGCAAAGAUGCCUAGCGGGUGUGAGAGCACGACCCGCGCCACUGGCACUGAGACACUGGCCAGACACCUACGGGUGGCUGCAGUCGAGGAUCUUCGGCAAUGGGCGCAAGCCUGACCGAGCGACGCCGCGUGUGCGAUGAAGGCCUUCGGGUUGUAAAGCACUGUCGAGGGGGAGGAAAGCCGUAAGGUCUGACCUAUCCCUGGAGGAAGCACGGGCUAAGUUCGUGCCAGCAGCCGCGGUAACAC
rnacentral:rRNA from 1 species